UACGUAGGGGGCAAGCGUUGUCCGGAUUUACUGGGCGUAAAGAGCGCGUAGGCGGAGAUCUAAGCGUGGCCUGAAAGCCCCCGGCUCAACCGGGGAGUGCGGCUGCGAACUGGGUUUCUUGAGGACGAUAGAGGAGAGUGGAAUUCCUGGUGUAGCGGUGAAAUGCGUAGAGAUCAGGAAGAACAUCGGUGGCGAAGGCGCUCUGCUGGACCAUAACUGACACUCAGGGACGAAAGCUAGGGGAGCGAAUGGG
rnacentral:rRNA from 1 species